CCUACGGGUGGCAGCAGUGGGGAAUAUUGGACAAUGGGGGGAACCCUGAUCCAGCCAUGCCGCGUGUGUGAAGAAGGCCCUCGGGUUGUAAAGCACUUUCAGUGAGGAAGAACGCCUGGUGGUUAAUACCCAUCAGGAAAGACAUCACUCACAGAAGAAGCACCGGCUAACUCCGUGCCAGCAGCCGCAGGUAAUACGGAGGGUGCGAGCGUUAAUCGGAAUUACUGGGCGUAAAGCGCGCGUAGGUGGCUUGAUAAGCCAGUUGUGAAAGCCCCGGGCUCAACCUGGGAACGGCAUCCGGAACUGUCAAGCUAGAGUGCAGGAGAGGAAGGUAGAAUUCCCGGUGUAGCGGUGAAAUGCGUAGAGAUCGGGAGGAAUACCAGUGGCGAAGGCGGCCUUCUGGACUGACACUGACACUGAGGUGCGAAAGCGUGGGUAGCAAACAGGAUUAGAUACCCGAGUAGUC
rnacentral:rRNA from 1 species